rnacentral:tRNA from 1 species
AGAUUUUUAGUGUAGUGGUAACACAACAGAUUCCAAAUCUGUUAUCGCGGGUUCGAUUCCUGCAAAGUCUG